UACGGGGGGGGCAAGCGUUGUUCGGAAUUACUGGGCGUAAAGGGCUCGUAGGUGGCCAACUAAGUCAGACGUGAAAUCCCUCGGCUUAACCGGGGAACUGCGUCUGAUACUGGAUGGCUUGAGUUUGGGAGAGGGACGCGGAAUUCCAGGUGUAGCGGUGAAAAUGCGUAGAUAUCUGGAGGAACACCGGUGGCGAAGGCGGCAUCCUGGACCGACACUGACACUGAGGAGCGAA
rnacentral:rRNA from 1 species